rnacentral:rRNA from 1 species
GAUGAACGCUAGCGGCAGGCCUAAUACAUGCAAGUCGAACGGUGUCUUCGGACAUAGUGGCGCACGGGUGCGUAACACGUAUGCAACCUACCUUACAUUGGGGGAUAGCCUUUCGAACGGGAGAUUAAUACCGCAUAAGACAGUAGCUGGGCAUCCAGCAGCUGUUAAAGAUUUAUCGAUGUAAGCUGGGCAUGCGUCCAAUUAGCUAGUUGGUGAGGUAACGGCUCACCAAGGCAAUGAUUGGUAGGGGAACUGAGAGGUCAAUCCCCCACACUGGCACUGAGAUACGGGCCAGACUCCUACGGGAGGCAGCAGUAGGGAAUAUUGGGCAAUGGACGCAAGUCUGACCCAGCCAUGCCGCGUGCAGGAUGAAGGCGUUAUGCGUUGUAAACUGCUUUUAUACAGGAGGAAACGACUCUUGCGAGAGGCAUUGACGGUACUGUAUGAAUAAGCACCGGCUAACUCCGUGCCAGCCGCCGCAGUAAGAC